rnacentral:lncRNA from 1 species
AGCAAUGCACUCAGACUCCUCUCUGCUGUGGAGAGCUUUUUUUUUUUUUUUUCAUAUUAAACUUUCACUCCAACUUUAUCUUUGUGUUUACAAUUCUUAAUUUUUUUGUCUUGGAUAAAGAACAAAAAACCUGGAGUACUUCUUCAGACAACAAGAAACUUCCAAAUUAAGGUGCAUUGGCAAGAAUGCAACAUAUUUUGAUCCAUUGGCUUGGAAGGAGGGAAUUCAUCAGAAGGGAGUGAAGACUGAUUUUGCAGAGCCAAUAAAGGCCCCUGGGGAAACUGGCCUCAUAUCUUGUCAUGAAGAUUUUAUACAGGUUUCCUAACCUGUGUGCUCACUGCUGCAAAGAAGAACAAGCACACAGGCAAAAAGUUUUCCCAGCAAGAAUGCCAGGGUGAAAGGAAAGAUCAAUUGGACCAGAGCACAAGUGCUGCUCCAGUUACUUGGCAGAGUACCUAAUAGUGAUCCACCACAAUACCACCAUAUAUCUGUUUGGGAAUAAACAAGGGCAAGUUGACUGCACCAUGUAAGAACUGCCUUUUGCCUCACAUCGUUAUUCUGAGGCCCCCUGACCAUGUGAGACUCACACAGAGAUAUUCCUUCAGCAUACCAUACUGCCAUAGAGUGAUGGAGGAAUGACACCAGUAAUUUGAGACCUCUUCAGUGGCUCUGUGAUACAAAGUUAAAACCAGGUCUGCUGCAGUUUGCGGGAGGUCCACUCCAGACCCUGUUUGCCUGGGUGUCACCAGUGGAGGCUGCAGAACAGAAAGGAUUGCCACCUGCUCCUUCCUCUGGAAGCUUCAUCCCAGAGGGACACUGGCCUGAUGCCAGCCACAGCUCUCCUGUACAAGUGUUUAUUAUAUCCCUCUAUAUGGCCAUGUGUACUCAUCGUUCACCUUCCACUUACAUGUAAAAACAUAUGAAUGUUGCAUAUGCUGAGAAGAAUGUGUAUUCUACAGAUGCUGGAGGAAAUGUUCUGCAAAUAUCUAUUACAUUUAUUUGCCCUAUUGUAUAAAGUAAUGAUUGUGAUUCUUUUUAAAUUUUUAUUCUAGAUUAUCUGCCUUCUAGAUAAUGAAAUUGUAAAAGUCUGUUUUGUGAUAAAAAUGUCUUGAAGCCUUCAGCUGAUCUUUAGGAUUUUACUCUAUUGUUUAAAAUGUAUAAAUUUAAGUGUACAAUGCAAUUUUAUUACAUGAUCAUAUUGUGUAGUGAUAAAGUCAUGGUUUUAGUGUAUUAAUCAUCUGAAUAAUGUACAUUGUACUCAUUAAGUAUGUCUCAUCAACCAAGCUCUUUCCAUCCUUCCACAUUUCUGACUCUCCAAUGUGUAUCAUUCUAUACUUUAUGCCCAUGCUUACAAUAUUGUGAAUAUACAGUAUUUGACUUUAUGUUUCCAAGUUUGUUUGUUUUAGAUCAUGGCCUCCAGUUUUAUACAUGUCAAUAGAGAGGACAUGACUUUAUUCUUUUCUAUAAUGAAAUUGUAUUUUAUUAUGUUUAUGUAGCAUAUUUGUUUAAUCUAAUUAUAUGGUGAUAAUCAGUUUAGGUAAUUCUAUUGUUUUACUACUGUGAAUAAUGCUGCAAUACUUAUAUGAUAUGUAUUUUAUAUAAUGAUUUUAAUAUCUUUGAUAGAUACCCAGUAGUGGGAUUGCUGGAACAAGUGGUACUUACAGUUUUAGUUCUUUGAUAAAUAACCAUUCUGUUUUUCAUAGAGCUUAUACUAAUCUAUAUUCCCACCAACAGUAUUAAGCAUUCUUUCUUAGCAUCCUCAUCAUCUGUUUUUCUUUUUAUGUAAUAGCCAUUUUGAGUGGUGUAAUAUGAUAUCUAUCUUACGGUGGUUUUAGUUUGCAUUUCUUUGAUCAUUAGUGAUGUUGAACAUUGGCUUAUAUGCAUGCUGGCCUUUGGAUGUCUUCUUUUGAUAAAUGACUAUUCAUAUUAUUAAUAGCUUUUAUUAUCCUUUCAAAACUUAAAUUUUGGUUUUCACAAACACAUGAAGGUUUCUUACACAGUUAAACUCAGGUCAUAGGGAUGAGUUGUAAAGAUUAUUUCAUCACCUGGAAAUUAAGCCCAAUACCCAAUAGUUAUCUUUUCUGCUUGUCUCCCUUUUUCUUCCCACCAUCCUCAAGUAGACCCCACUGUCUGUUAUUUCCUUCUUUGUUUUAACAAGUAUUACUUAGCCCUAACCUUUGAUGAAAACUAUUGGUUUUCUCUUCCAGCAUUAGCUUACUCAGAUUAAUACCCUCCAUCUCCAUCCAUGUGCCUGCAAAAAAAAAACAUAAUCUUGCUUUUUUAUAUGUAUAUUGGCAUAGUAUUCCAUGGUAUAUAUAUGCCAUAUUGCUUUAUUCUAUCAUUAAUGAACAUUUAUAUUAAUAUCAUGUCUUUGCUAUUGUAAAUACUGCUGCUAUGAAUAUUCAUGUGUAUGUCUCUGUGUGGUAGGAUGAUUUAUGUAUCAUCCUUUGGUACACACUUAGUCAUAAAAUUGCUUAGCCAAAUGGUAGUUCUGCUUUUAGCCUUUUGCAGAAUCACAAUACUGCUUUCCACAAUGCUUGAACUAAUUUAUGCACCCACAAACAGUGUAUAUAUGUUUCCCUUUCUCUGCAGUCUUGCCAGCAUCUGUUACUAUUUCACUUUUUAGUAAUAGCUUUUCUGACAGCUGUGAGAUUGUAUCUUAUUGUGGUUUUGAUUUGCAUUUAUCUAAUCAUCACUGAUAUUGAGCUUUUUUUAUACAUGAUUAUUGGCAGCAUGUAUGUCUUCUUUUAAAAAAAAUCUGUUCAUGUCCUUUUCCCAUUUUUAAUGGGGUUUUCUAUUGGAAUUGUGUUAAAGUUCUUUAUAGAUGUUGGGUAUUAGACUUUUUCAGAUGCAUAGUUUGCAAAAUUUUUCAGAUUUUUGUCAGAUGCACAGGUUGCAAAAUUUUCUCCCAUUCUGUAGGUUGUCUGUGUACUCUGUUGAUAGUUUCUUUUGCUGUACAAAGUAACAUUUUAAUGGUUUUAUUUGUUUUUCCUGUUGCUUGAGUUUAUUAUAUAUUCUAGAUAUCAGUGUAUUUCUUUUGUUUCUACCCUGACCUUUGUAAUUUAUAAUUUUCUACACAUUGUGAGUAGUUUCAUUUUGUUUUCCUAAAACUCUGAGUUGUCUUAUUUGACUUUUUAGAGCUUUUUACUUUUAAGUGUUGGAAUUUGUUGCUAUCAACUUUUCUAUUUUAGCGAUAUUUGAUUUUUCUUUUUAAUUUUAUAUAUUGUGUUUACUUUUUUAUUUGUCUCAACAUUUAAACAUUUUUAUUUUUACUUUUUUUGGUUCAUUGAUUUUUCAGGAGCAUGCUAUUUAAUUUUUACAUAUCUGUAAAUUUC